rnacentral:rRNA from 1 species
AGAGUUUGCUUCUGGCUCAGGAUGAACGCUAGCGACAGGCUUAACACAUGCAAGUCGAGGGGCAGCGGGGGCGAAGCUUGCUUUCCCUGCCGGCGACCGGCGCACGGGUGAGUAACACGUAUGCGACCUGCCCCCCGCAGGGGGAUAACCGGGAGAAAUCCCGACUAAUACCGCGUAACGCCGCUGGGCUGCAUGGCCCGGCGGCCAAAGGAAGCGAUUCCGGCGGGGGAUGGGCAUGCGGCGCAUUAGCUAGUCGGCGGGGUAACGGCCCACCGAGGCGACGAUGCGUAGGGGUUCUGAGAGGAAGGUCCCCCACACUGGUACUGAGACACGGACCAGACUCCUACGGGAGGCAGCAGUGAGGAAUAUUGGUCAAUGGGCGCGAGCCUGAACCAGCCAAGUCGCGUGAGGGAAGACGGUCCUAUGGAUUGUAAACCUCUUUUGUCGGGGAGCAAAAGACGCCACGUGUGGCGUUCCGAGAGUACCCGAAGAAAAAGCAUCGGCUGACUCCGUGCCAGCAGCCGCGGUAAUACGGAGGAUGCGAGCGUUAUCCGGAUUUAUUGGGUUUAAAGGGUGCGCAGGCGGAAGAUCAAGUCAGCGGUAAAAUUGAGAGGCUCAACCUCUUCGAGCCGUUGAAACUGGUUUUCUUGAGUGAGCGAGAAGUAUGCGGAAUGCGUGGUGUAGCGGUGAAAUGCAUAGAUAUCACGCAGAACUCCGAUUGCGAAGGCAGCAUACCGGCGCUCAACUGACGCUCAUGCACGAAAGUGUGGGUAUCGAACAGGAUUAGAUACCCUGGUAGUCCACACAGUAAACGAUGAAUACUAAUUGUUCGGGGAAAAUGAACCCCUGAGUGAUACAGUGAAAGCGCUUAAGUAUUCCUACCUGGGGAGUAUGCCGGCAACGGUGAAACUCAAAGGAAUUGACGGGGGCCCGCACAAGCGGAGGAACAUGUGGUUUAUUUCGAUGAUACGCGAGGAACCUUACCCGGGCUCAAACUGACACAGGAAUACUUUUGAAAGGAGGUAGCUUUACGGAGCCUGUGUCGAGUGUGCUGCAUGGUGGUCGUCAGCUCAGUGCCGUGAGGUGUUGGCUUAAGUGCCAUAACGAGCGCAACCCCCAUCGCCAGUUACCAUCAAGUCAAGUUGGGGACUCUGGCGAGACCGUCGGCGCAAGCUGUGAGGAAGGCGGGGAUGAAGUCAAAUCAGCACGGCCGCUACGUCCGGGGCGACACACGUGUUACAAUGGUAGGUACAGAGAGAAGCAAUGCGGCGACGCAAAGCGGAACCUGAAAGCCUGUCUCAGUUCGGAUUGGAGUCUGCAACUCGACUCCAUGAAGCUGGAUUCGAUAGUAAUUGCGCAUCAGCCAAGGCGCGGUGAAUACGUUCCCGGGCCUUCCACACACCGCCCGUCA